rnacentral:ncRNA from 1 species
GCCCAGUGCUAGUAAGUUUAAAAAAAUAAUGUUAUACAAGUAAUUUUUUUAUAAGCUCUAGUAAACGGCGGCUGUAACUAUACCGGUCCGAAGGUAGCGAAAUUCAAUGUCGGUUAAGUUCCGAC